UCGGUGUAGGAUGAGACUAUAUUGUAUCAGCUAGUUGGUGAGGUAAUGGCUCACCAAGGCUAUGACGCAUAACUGGUCUGAGAGGAUGAUCAGUCACACUGGAACUGAGACACGGUCCAGACUCCUACGGGAGGCAGCAGUAGGGAAUAUUGCUCAAUGGGCGAAAGCCUGAAGCAGCAACGCCGCGUGGAGGAUGACACUUUUCGGAGCGUAAACUCCUUUUGUUGGGGAAGAAAUUUGACGGUACCCAACGAAUAAGCACCGGCUAACUCCGUGCCAGCAGCCGCGGUAAUACGGAGGGUGCAAGCGUUACUCGGAAUCACUGGGCGUAAAGGACGCGUAGGCGGAUUAUCAAGUCUUUUGUGAAAUCUAAUGGCUUAACCAUUAAACUGCUUGAGAAACUGAUAAUCUAGAGUGAGGGAGAGGCAGAUGGAAUUGGUGGUGUAGGGGUAAAAUCCGUAGAGAUCACCAAGAAUACCCAUUGCGAAGGCGAUCUGCUAGAACUCAACUGACGCUAAUGCGUGAAAGCGUGGGGAGCAAACAGGAUUAGAUACCCUGGUAGUCCACGCCCUAAACGAUGUAUACUAGUUGUUGCUCUGCUAGUCAGGGCAGUAAUGCACCUAACGGAUUAAGUAUACCGCCUGGGGAGUACGGUCGCAAGAUUAAAACUCAAAGGAAUAGACGGGGACCCGCACAAGCGGUGGAGCAUGUGGUUUAAUUCGAAGAUACGCGAAGAACCUUACCUGGGCUUGAUAUCCUAAGAACCUCUUAGAGAUAAGAGGGUGCUAGCUUGCUAGAACUUAGAGACAGGUGCUGCACGGCUGUCGUCAGCUCGUGUCGUGAGAUGUUCGGUUAAGUCCGGCAACGAGCGCAACCCACGUAUUUAGUUGCUAACAGUUUGGCUGAGCACUCUAAAUAUACUGCCUUCGUAAGGAGGAGGAAGGUGUGGACGACGUCAAGUCAUCAUGGCCCUUAUGCCCAGGGCGACACACGUGCUACAAUGGCAUAUACAAUGAGACGCAAUAUCGCGAGAUGGAGCAAAUCUAUAAAAUAUGUCCCAGUUCGGAUUGUUCUCUGCAACUCGAGAGCAUGAAGCCGGAAUCGCUAGUAAUCGUAGAUCAGCCAUGCUACGGUGAAUACGUUCCCGGGUCUUGUACUCACCGCCCGUCACACCAUGGGAGUUGAUUUCACUCGAAGCGGGGAUGCUAAACUAGCUACCCUCCACAGUGGAAUCAGCGACUGGGGUGAAGUCGUAACAAGGUAACCGUAGGAGAACCUGCGGUUGGAUCACCUCCUUU
rnacentral:rRNA from 1 species